rnacentral:rRNA from 1 species
AGGCAGCAGUGGGGAAUAUUGCGCAAUGGGCGAAAGCCUGACGCAGCAACGCCGCGUGCGGGAUGAAGGCCUUCGGGUUGUAAACCGCUUUCAGUGGGGACGAAAACAGACGGUACCCACAGAAGAAGCCCCGGCCAACUACGUGCCAGCAGCCGCGGUAACACGUAGGGGGCGAGCGUUGUCCGGAUUUAUUGGGCGUAAAGAGCUCGUAGGCGGCUCGGUAAGUGAGGUGUGAAAACUCCAGGCUCAACCUGGAGACGCCACCUCAUACUGCCGUGGCUAGAGUCCGGUAGGGGAGCAUGGAAUUCCUGGUGUAGCGGUGAAAUGCGCAGAUAUCAGGAGGAACACCAGUGGCGAAGGCGGUGCUCUGGGCCGGAACUGACGCUGAGGAGCGAAAGCGUGGGGAGCAAACAGGAUUAGAUACCCUGGUAG